rnacentral:rRNA from 1 species
GAUCCUGGCUCAGAACGAACGCUGGCGGCAUGGAUUAGGCAUGCAAGUCGAACGGGAGCAGCAAUGCUCCAGUGGCGCAAGGGUGAGGAACACGUGAACAACCUGCCUUCGAGUUGGGGAUAGCUUCUGGAAACGGGAGAUAAUACCGAAUAACAUCACCGGAUCGCAUGAUCUGAUGAUCAAAGCAGCAAUGCGCUUGAAGAGGGGUUCGCGUCCCAUUAGCUAGUUGGUGAGGUAACGGCCCACCAAGGCGAUGAUGGGUAGCUGGUCUGAGAGGACGAUCAGCCACAUUGGGACUGAGAUACUGCCCAGACUCCUACGGGAGGCUGCAGUCGAGAAUUUUGGGCAAUGGACGAAAGUCUGACCCAGCAAUGCCGCGUGCGGGAUGAAGGUCUUCGGAUUGUAAACCGCUGUCAAGAGGGACGAAACAUGACGGUACCUCUGGAGGAAGCCACGGCUAACUACGUGCCAGCCGCCGC